GAUGAAGAACGUAGCGAAAUGCGAUACGUAAUGUGAAUUGCAAAUUCAGUGAAUCAUCGAGUCUUUGAACGCACAUUGCGCCCCCUGGAAUUCCGGGGGGCAUGCCUGUCCGAGCGUCAUUGCUGCCCUCAAGCACGGCUUGUGUGUUGGGCCCCGUCCUCCGAUCCCGGGGGACGGGCCCGAAAGGCAGCGGCGGCACCGCGUCCGGUCCUCGAGCGUAUGGGGCUUUGUCACCCGCUCUGUAGGCCCGGCCGGCGCUUGCCGAUCAACCCAAAUUUUUAUCCAGGUUGACCUCGGAUCAGGUAGGGAUACCCGCUGAACUUAAGCAUAUCAAUAAGCGGAGGA
rnacentral:misc_RNA from 1 species